rnacentral:rRNA from 1 species
ACAGCAGCCGCCGCGGUAAUACGGAGGAUCCAAGCGUUAUCCGGAAUCAUUGGGUUUAAAGGGUCCGUAGGCGGUCUUGUAAGUCAGUGGUGAAAGCCCAUCGCUCAACGGUGGAACGGCCAUUGAUACUGCAGGACUUGAAUUAUUGGGAAGUAACUAGAAUAUGUAGUGUAGCGGUGAAAUGCUUAGAGAUUACAUGGAAUACCAAUUGCGAAGGCAGGUUACUACCAAUUGAUUGACGCUGAUGGACGAAAGCGUGGGUAGCGAACAGGAUUAGAUACCCCUGUAGUCCCUGUCUCUUAUAA